GCAUAUGGAAGUUUCCAGGCUAGGGGGUCGAAUUGGAACUACAGCUGCUGGCCUUCGCCACAGCCACAGCAUUGCUGGAUCUGAGCCACGUCUGGGACCUACACCACAGCUCAUGGGAAUGCUGUAUCCCCAACCUUCUGUGCGAAGCCAGGGAUAAAACACUCAUCCUCAUGGAUACUAGUCAGAUUCGUUUCCGCUGCACCAUAACGGCAACUUCCCACAAUGAUUAAUUUCUCUUUUUUAAAUGUCACUUGGAAGACCCCUUUGCCACAUGGCCCUGGCUAAAAGUCUGGAUAAAUAAGUGUUAACAAAGGGAGAGACAGCUCCAGAAGGGAUUGUGAUUUGGGCAGCAGGUCUCACUGGCUCUUCGUAGUCAGAGGGAAGAAGGCAUUUUUACUGUAGAAGUUUGAUGAAUGCAAAUGGAAGGAACACAAAAGACCAUGGCCCAUACUUUUCAGCUGCCUCUCUUUCUAUCUGCAGCAAAUGCCACUUCAUGUGCUGAUUCCACAAAUGUGGAGCCCCUGUCCUCAUACCCAUUGGACAAACAGACCAGUCAGCAGCCUCACAACACAACCCAGGCAUGGAGAGAGGCCCUGCAAAGCCCCAGAACUUAGAACUGGAUCUGAAACCUUGACCAGGAAGUGACAUUUGUCUUUCUGUUAACCAAGCAAUAAGGGAACUGUCAGAAUAUCAGGGAGACAGAGGAAAUUGAAGCACUUGACUUAACCAUCCAUUUGUGAGCCAUUUUGGCAAUUACGGAUUUUCUGCUAGGGGGUGAGGAAGGGAGAAUUAGAAAAAAAGAAAAAGUCCAGAGGUCUUAAUUCUGAGGGGACUAACAGACAUGGCCUAUGUGGGACAGAAAGUGGGCUUAGAUGGACAGGCAAGACUUUUCUUUAGGAUAUAUAGAAUUGGAGACAAGGGGAGGGAGGAGGGAGGCCAGGGCCGUUGGCUCUGGAGGGAAGGAGUAGAAAAUGAAUUCCUGCCCUCCUUGUGGUCUCUACCUCACUGAGCAAAUCACUUGUAGAGACUGGAGUGACUAUGGGAAGGAGACACCAGCUGGGGUUCUGUUUGACAGCUGGAUAGGGCUGGCAACUGUCCCUUUGCCAAUGAGCUAGAGUUGGCAGUGGGACAGUAUGCAUCCCAGAGAUGGGGCAUGCCAAGAUUCACGAGGACCCAAGGGUCAAAUAGACACAGCAGAAGCAGGGUUUGUGCCUCCUUGCCAAUCCACUGCCCUCUCUGAGAGGGUGCCCGCUGGGUGAGGGAACCCUUCUGGGGAGUGAAGGUAUGCAGUCGGCAAUGAAAACUGAGGGGGGCAGAAGGAGGCUGAGUCAGAUGUCCCUCCUUUCUCCUGCAGGCAGUGCCCACAUCCUGUCCAGCCUAGAUCCAUCCAUAAUAUUAAGGACCUUUGAAGUAAAGGGACAGGGCAUGUAACCAGUUGAGUUGCCAGAUAAAAUAUAAGACAACCAGUUAAAUUUGAAUUUCAUAAGGAAUAGUUGUUAUUGCAUGAGACGUACUUAACACUAAAAAAAGACUAUUCCUUGUUUAUCUUAAAUCCAAAUUUAAUUGGGUGUCUUUUUUUUUUUUAAUUUGUUUUGCUAAAUCUGGUAUUCCUAGUAACAGAACAACAUGCUAAGCGAACCUUAACAUUUUUGAAGAUGGCAUUUAAGUAGUAGGGUCUUGUCAUGUCUUGGCAAAAGUGGAAACUUCUGUAAAUGGUCUGAGUUCUCCAAGUGCUAGAAUUUGGUUACUAACUCCCAGAUGAUAAUUCCCUCUCCAAAACUGGGUCCCUCUUCCCUCUGGGAGCUGUGGGAUGAGAGAAAAGAAAUCCUCUACACAGGCUGGUUUGAUUGGCCAGCCAAAGCAGUAGGCAAUAUCUCAGGGGUUUCAAACUGCAGGUUACAACUCCUGUAGUUUGUGAACCCAGGUCAUGCCAGCAUUUUGAGUAGGUGGUAGGGUGUGUUUUAGGGGAGGGAAUCAAAUUGUAUUGCCUAUAUUUUAUCUCAAAAAAAUCUUUUGUGUCUCUGAGUCACUGUGUGUGUAUGUAACUAACAACAUUUCCUACUAUAGUCAGGGUCCAAAAUAUUUGAAAGGCACCGAUAUGACCUUGAGACUUGCAAGACAUUAUUGUGAAAACUGUAUUGAAUCAACAACCAAGAUGAGUUGGUUUCACAUUGACAGGUUAGGAUAAGCUUUGCCUUAUUCUGGAAGAAUCACCCUCUGGGACCACUUUAUCUUUUCAUGGACUCUGCAAUCCCUGCAUAUAGAUGGCCAAUACUUCAUUUAAAUAAUUUAAAAUUUCUAGUUUUAUUUUGCAGUAAUCACUUACUAAAAGCAUACAUUGAAAUAGAAUAUUGUUGCAUCCAAUCUUAGGCAUUAAAUAUAAGUGAUAAUGUGGCACUAAAGGCACUGUCCAAAUGGCCAUAGUGGUUUUUAACAUUUGUUUUAUUUCUUCCUCUAAAGGGAGGUUUUUCAACUUUAAAAUUCAUGGAGAUUACUUGGCAUAAUUCCCUUGAGCUACUCUAAAUGGUUUUGAAAGAGUCGUAAUUUCUCUCAUGCGAGGAAUAUAUGAUGCUUUUACUUAGAAAGAGGAAGAAAAAAUGUUUGCAGUUUCACUUUGAAUUUUUAAAAAAUUUCUGUAACAAUUAGCUCUUGAUUCGUAAAUUAUAAAUAAAGCUAUUUUAUUAUCCAUUGCUACUGAAACAUCGUGUCCUGUGACAUUUUAGUAUUUAUUAUUCUGGGGAUUUAAUUUUUAUCUUGUACUCUUUUAUAGGAAAUAGUUUAUGAAUCUUAAGUCUAAAUACUUAUUGUCCUAUGCCAAUUGCUGUAAUCUCCAUUUCUCCAAAUUUUUCAUUUAUGCGUGAAUGAAAUGCAUUUCUCAUGGUGUUUCAGUGGACAGUACUGGCUUUGGAGGCAGAUACACCAGGAUUUGAAACAAACUCUGAUGCACAGGAACACUAUGAUUUUGAAAGGCACACAAGGCUUUGCAGCCUCAACAUCCUUAGCUGUAAGAUGGGAAAAAUUAAGACACCUAACUAGUAAGCUAUUGCGGGGCUUAUUCAAGAGAAUAAAUGUAAAGGCUAGUGUGGUGGAGACAAUGCUAUAUAUUCACCAAAUUCCAUUUCCAUUUCCUCUUUGUGAACUUGACACCACAUUUUCAACCUCCUUUAUAGUUAGUUUGGGACCACGUGACUAGGUUAUUGUGUGGACUAUUUUUAGUUUUGGCUACCCAUCCUGGCUUCUGGUGGGGCUACAUGUUUUAGGUCAUGUGGCUACAAGACAAAGGAAGAUUGCUCAACCCACAUAAGACUUUAUGUAAGCAAAAAAUCAACUUUCCUUGUAAAGCCACUAAGAUUUUGGGGUGUAUUUGUUACUGCAGCAUUGAUUAGCCUACACUGAAUAAUAUACUCAAUAUAUAUCAUAAACAGUUAAUGAAUUUUAGCAUUUAACUUAUCUAUGAACUUUAAAUUAUGGAAGGAGUACUUUGAUAUAAAUUAAGAGGGUAAAAAAGGAAGACAGUAUAUACUGCACCACAUUUUGUGUAGGGAGGAAGGGGAAAUUAAGAAGUACUUAUGUAUUUGCUUAUUUUGUGAAAAAAAAAUGCAGGAAAGGAAAAACCAGAAACUACUAAAAAAUGAUUACCUAUAAGCGGUAAAUUGGAAUUGGGUGAAGAUGAUAUUCAAGGGGAUGAGACAUCUCUGACUAAACAUGUUUAUACAAUGUUAUUUUAUUUUAUUUUUUUGUCUUUUGUCUUUUUAGGACUGCACCCACGGCAUAUGGAGGUUCCCAGGCUAGGAGUCUAAUUGGAGCUGUAGCUGCUGACCUACACCACAGCCACAGCAACGCUAGAUCUGAGCUGUGUCUGUGACCUACACCAUGGCUCACGGCAAUGCUCGAUCCUUAACCCACUGAGCGAGGCCAGGGAUUGAACCCACAACCUCAUGGUUCCUAGUUGGAUUCGUUUCCACUGCACCACAAUGGGAACUCCUACAAUAUUAAUUUUUGAACCACAUAGUUUGUAUAUUUAGAAAUAAGAGUAAAUCAUAAAGGAAAAAUGCCCAAAAAUUGUAUCUUAAACCAGUGAUCCAACUCUCUGACUGUAUAUAUAGUAAUAUUAUUGGAAACCAGGAAUUUCCAGUAUAAGAGGAAAAAAAAUAAAAGAGAACUUUUAAAAAGCACUUUUAUGUUAAAUGCCUGUAACCAUAUGAACUCAUACAAUUCAUAUUCCCCCUCUUUCUCACUCAUUCUCCAUGUAUUUGUGUGUGUGUGUGUGUAAACAACUAUGAAUGUAGUUAUAUAAUCUCCUGGUUGUGUUUGUGAAGGAGCCUAGAAACGACACCCUAGCAGCAAUGAGCCCAACCAGCCCCCUUAUCUUGAAUCUCUUAAUAUAAUAACUGGUACAGGCAAGAAUAAUCAAAUGGGUACUAUAACCAUUAUCUGAAAGUAGUGGGCAAUAGGUUAUUCCCAAAAGGGCCACUCCACAGAUCAUUACUAAUUUCAAUGGGAAAGGUGUUUUGAUAUGUGAUCCCCCACAGAUGCAUUUGGCUCUGCCUGUCCCUCAGGACCCACUUGCCUUGAUUGUUGGGUAAAGUGGGGUCCCAGUGAUGGCUGUAAAGCUCCAGGCUUCAUCUAGUCACCUCACCUCCUACAGUGAAAGAUGUCUCUGCUUUGGCAAGUCUCUCAUUACACCUGCUAGGACCAAAGCUGCAGAGCUUCCAUGCUCAGGUCCAACAUAGCAGGACACGUGGAGGCCCUGUUUUUUCCAGUGGCUGCCCAGAGGUGCCUGGUAACACGGUCCAGAGGUACAGAGGUAUAAACACCCCAUAGGCGUUAUUCCAAAGGAGUCCUCCAGGAUGGGGUAUCUUCUAGCAACUCCAAAGAUGUCCCACAUGACUAAGUGACCAGCCAGGCUGCUUAUGAAACCCUUGCCUGCUCAGCAAUGAACCACCUUUCAUUUGUCUCCCUCUUUUUCUGUCUCAAUUCUUUUCUUCCCCCCUUUUUUGCUCUCAUACCCAUUAUAAAACACUGUCAAGUAAACUUGGCCUCAGUCUUUGUGCCCAGGCAGAUGUGAUAGUCACCUUUUCAACCAAGUCAUUACCAGUAGUGGAUUACAUGUGAUC
rnacentral:lncRNA from 1 species